rnacentral:rRNA from 1 species
AUUGAACGCUGGCGGCAGGCCUAACACAUGCAAGUCGAACGAGCGGCGGACGGGUGAGUAAUGUCUGGGAAACUGCCCGAUGGAGGGGGAUAACUACUGGAAACGGUAGCUAAUACCGCAUACCAUCGGAUGUGCCCAGAUGGGAUUAGCUAGUAGGUGGGGUAAGGGCUCACCUAGGCGACGAUCCCUAGCUGGUCUGCGAGGAUGACCAGCCAACCUGGAACGGAGACACGGCCCUGACUCCUACGGGAGGCAGCAGUGGGGAAUAUGGCACAAGGGGCGCAAGCCUGAUGCAGCCAUGCCGAGUGUAUGAAGAAGGCCUUCGGGUUGGAAAGUACUUUCAGCGAGGAGGCGUUACUCGCAGAAGAAGCACCGGCUAACUCCGUGCCAGCAGCCGCGGUAAUUC